GAUGAACGCUAGCGGCAGGCCUAAUACAUGCAAGUCGGACGGGAUUUGGGAGCUUGCUCCCAAUGAGAGUGGCGCACGGGUGCGUAACACGUAUGUAACCUACCUUAGUCAGGGGGAUAGCCUCUCGAAAGAGAGAUUAAGACCGCAUAAAUACACAGUAUAGCAUUAUACAAUGAUCAAAUAUUUAUUAGGACUAAGAUGGGCAUGCGGAACAUUAGCUAGUUGGUGAGGUAA
rnacentral:rRNA from 1 species